UUUUGCUGGAGCUCCAGGAGGACUUGGAUUAGGGAUUCCUCAGACAGGAGGAAGAAACCGAGGCGAGACGGGUCGGGUCGGGAGAGGGAGUAGGUGACGGACACGGAGGAGACUAAGACCGAGACGAAGCCGGUGUGUGUGAAUCCGAAUUUCUCGAAUAGGAUCAUGGGGCGGACAUCGGUGAUGAUUUUUAGGUUCUUGAUCUCAGCGGUGGUAGGGGAGGGGAAGAGGACGGAGAGGAGGAGGAGGAGGAGGGCGACGCCGGUAAGGGGUGCUUUCGCCAUUUUCGGAGAGUUGCAGUGACACUGAGUUUCGGUAGGAGAAGAAGAGAG
rnacentral:lncRNA from 1 species